AAGAAAAAUGUCACUUUGCGACACUUAGGUUGCAACAACUUGACUAUAACCGUCGCAAUGUGUUAAUUUUAAAAAAUUUGCAACGGUUUAUGCGACACUUAGCUCAACCGUCGCAAUAUUUUGGCUUUUUAAAGCUUCCAUUAGUGCCCAUUGAAAUUUUUGGCUCUCACUCACUUAAUACCAAAAAAUAAAAACACAUACACAAAAAAAGUGAAAAAACACAUUUCAUUGAGAAAUCCCUAAAUCCCAAAACACUGUCUUCAUCGUUCCCGCCGCCACCACACUCACACUCCGGCGCAACUUUCUUCAUCGUUCCCUUCAAGAGAAGUGAAUGAGUUCAUCAUUCUCUCCAAUCGUUCUCUUAAGGUAUCAAAACUCACUCUCUCCAAUCUCUUUACUGUUCCCGUCGAGAGAAGUAAGAUCUGUCGUUCUUCCAAAACUCGACUGCUCUGUCUAUCUAACAUCCACCUCCAUCACCAAGAAUCAAGUCUCAAAUUUUAGUUUCAUGCCUCUUUUCUCUAUUUGGCAAAGAAUCUCCACAAACCUAAACCCCAAUUCCGAAAUUUUCCCAAUUCCUCCAUUAUUAGUUCAUGCAUGUACGAAUUAAGGCUUCAAACUCUCAUUUCAUACCAAAAGGAAAGUCAAGAAUCCUUUUUCACGGCUUGUAUUCAUGAGUUUUACUAUGGGUUGGAGCAUUUCAAGUAUUGGAGGUAAUCUAGGAUUUUCCCGAUGGGUUUUACUCGCUCAAGCCGCACAAACGGGUAACUGAAGCUUGAAGUUUCGUUUUCCUUUUAAGUUCCAGAAGUUCCCUUGACACAUGAGGUUGGAAGUUUGGAUUGAAAAGAAUUAUAAGACGAGAUUCAAUUGGAGCACUAGAAUAGAUUGGAGAACAAGCUUUUGAUGUAGACUAUGUUGUGGUUGUAAUAAUCAAGUGUUGAGAGAGGUGAGUUCCAUAGCUAGAAAUCCUUACCAAUAUUAGUCUCCCCACUAUUCUCAUGGAGAAUUGGGUUUACGGGUAGUUAGAAUUAGAAUCUAUUUCAUGAGAAAUUGCACUUUGAUGAGAUUGCCCCUUUAGAUUAGUUCUCUCAAAUUGUAUAGAUUUAAUGCAUGUUGUUUAUGAAUCUUGGUGACUUCCCUUGUCCUUGUUGUGCUACUAACUGUUGGCCUAAAUUGUCACUAAAAUGCAUCUAGAGUAAGGCUAGGACUGUGUGAGGAUAAUGGUACAAACUGAAUUUUUUUGCAGGAAACGGGUCACCUGGGCAUUCUGCCCUCUGCGUCAGGGGCGUGGACCACUGCGCUGGAAGCGCAAAUAACAGUGUUUCCCAGACUGUUCCUGCGCCUGGAGUUACAUCCAGCAGCCCCGUUUGCAUUGUUUUGCAUUUCCGGAUGCUUUUGGGACACCGUAAUGUCCCUAAUGGAAUAAGAUCAUAUAGGAAUGAAAAAUAUAGUAGUUAGCUUAAUAAAUUGCAUAGGUUGGGUAGGGAAAACAAACUGAAUACUAUGGACUAGAUGUAUUAUAAGUUAAUUCAGGACAGGUAAGAAUAUUGACAGUUGAUCUUGAAAUGUAGUGGACUUUGGGCCACAAGUGUUAGAUUUCUAAUGCUAAAUGUCUAUGAUGAAUAAUAUGUUAAGUUGUGGUCUAUAAGGCACCAGAAAGGCUUCCUUAUGUAGGAGUUGGAGCUGGAUUGAAAUUCUAUAUAGAAUUUCACACAACGAUAAGAUGAGGUAUGACCAUACGCUUUAGCCCUGAUAUGAUAGGGAAUUUAGCCGGGUAUGUAAGGGAAUGGUUCGAGACUACUCACCUCGAAUUAUUCCGUAAAAUCAACUCAGACAAAUAAUUGUGUCACACUUUAUUUGCAUUAUACCGAAAAUAAUCGUGAAAUGAAUAUGUAUAUGUUUAUGUAAUUGAUCAACUGUCAGGACAAAAGAUAUUAGUACCACCCUAAGAUAGGUGGGAUUCACUGAGGCUUUAUGUCUCAUCCCACUCCUUUUUAUUUUUUUCAGAUAAGCAGAUUAAACGAGUCAGGGGUAAGAAGAAACUACGGAUUGAAGAUGGAAGAUUUUAUUACAUUAGUUUCUUCCUUGCUUUGUUAGAUUAGUCUGAUAGAUAUGUCUGAUGAUUAUUUACCAUUGUGUAAUGGAACUUUCAUUUCCUUGUACCUGAUAUAGAAUUUAGGUACUUGUUUCUUUUGAACAAGCUAUUCUAUAAAUUUUAAUGUAUCUGAACCUCAAUUAUGUAUAUCUUGGUCAAUAUUCUAGACAUUUGACAUUUGGAUGUUACAAGGAGGUCAUUGAACUUAUAUAGUUUUACUGUGCUUAUGUUAUUGAAAAUCAUAAUCCGUUUCCAUGUUGAUAUUUGAAGGUAGGGAAUCCUCUUAUGGAGUUAAAUAUGUUCUCAAUUCAAGAGCAGAGUUCUUAUGGUUCCAUGGACUGAUUUCAAAUUCUGCUUUCAAAUGUUAAGGAUGAGAAGCCAACCAACUGGUAGUUUGCAGAAUCUGUUCAGAUGAAGGGGAAACCAAUCACACAUAACACAAAUUGCUAUGUUCUGUUUCUAAAGUCUGAAUGCGAACCCUCUGCGAGACCACCGUGAGACCAUGCAAAAGUUGUUUGCUACCACACCAUCACUAUUUUCAAUCAAUGGCUCCAGUUGUAGUGGGAGAUGUGAUUCCAGACGGAGCUUAAUUUUGUUGCCCUUAUUUGUUGUCAUUUGUGUGUGUGCGCUAUAGGUCCGGGGUUUUUAAUGAUUGAGUCCAUUCGUUUUUUUAAGUAUCCUAAUAUAUAUUUAUGUUUUUCCAGGUAACCGAAUAAGAAAAGUCAAGAGAUGGUAGCACUAAUCAAGGAUUAUGAAGCAACAUCAUGUACCAGGGAAUGUUUAGAUAUUUUAAGAACUUAUUUUGCCAUAAGGGAAUGUUUUGUAUGUUUAACCACUAUACUAAUGUUUAUGUUUUAGUUUUUCAAUGUUUGAACUACAUUGAUUUUUUUUCCGUUUGGAACUUCAAGAUUAUGGAUGUUGUCACUACUUAAUGAAUUAUGGAUGUUAAGUCACUAAAUGAAUUAUAUAAAUGAGAUUAAGUUAUUUAUAUUUA